rnacentral:lncRNA from 1 species
GACAUACUGGGGUGUAUAGGAUAAUGAGAAGACACAAGUACAACCUCUAAGUUGAUGGAUCUGGUCUUUUUCUUUUUCUUGGUGACAUUUUGGUUUCUUAGUACAUCACUGGUUGCGUCAAAUUAAAGUAACAGAGGCGAUAGAAGAGCUUUGGCUCCAUUGUAAAACGUUUCAUACUUGGAGUCUCUACUACUUUGUUUCGUUUUGUGAAGUUUUAAGAGUAGUUUCUAAGGUUUUACUCAAAAUCUGAAAAAUUGAACGGCUACGAUUAGAUAUACCCGUGAAUCAUCAUCAUUGACCACUCGAUGAAACCGUAUCUGAUCAUAACCUUACACGGUUAAAAGUGGC